GAUUAACGCUAGCGGCAGGCCUAAUACAUGCAAGUUGAACGGCAGCACAGGUAGCAAUACUGGGUGGCGAGUGGCGCACGGGUGCGUAACACGUAUGCAACCUACCCUAUACAGGCGAAUAACCUUUAGAAAUGAGGGCUAAUACGCCGUAGUAUUACAGAUGGGCAUCUAUUUGUAAUUAAAGAUUUAUCGGUAUAGGAUGGGCAUGCGUCCCAUUAGUUAGUUGGUAAGGUAACGGCUUACCAAGACGAUGAUGGGUAGGGGAUCUGAGAGGACUUACCCCCACACUGGUACUGAGACACGGACCAGACUCCUACGGGAGGCAGCAGUAAGGAAUAGUGGGCAAUGGCCGCGAGGCUGACCCAGCCAUGCCGCGUGCAGGAAGACGGCCUUAUGGGUUGUAAACUGCUUUUAUACGGGAAUAAUAGAGUGUACGCGUACAUUUAUGCAAGUAUCGUAUGAAUAAGCAUCGGCUAACUCCGUG
rnacentral:rRNA from 1 species